rnacentral:tRNA from 2 species
CGGGAUGUAGCUCAGCCCGGUAGAGUGCUCGUCUGGGGGGCGAGUGGUCGCAAGUUCGAAUCUUGUCAUCCCGA